ensembl:snoRNA SNORD37 Small nucleolar RNA SNORD37
GCAAGUGAUGAUUUGAAAAUUCUUCACUUUGACCUGACUAAUCAGUGAUGAUAACCUUCAGCCUGAGC